UGCUCUGGUGUAGAAGCCGGCAUUAAUGGCGGAACCACCGCCUAAAACCCUAGCUCUCGCGUUGAUAACACCAUCCGUCGAAGCGAAGGCCUGAGAAGCCGAGGUCGGAGAAGUGUCGGCGAGGCCAAUGUGGAAAUUUCGAAGUAAAGACACAUUUGCAUUCGUGAAAGGAACGCCGCCUCUUUCCAGUAGCAGCACGCUGAAGUUCUGUGAUAAUGUCGCCGCCAAUGGACAGCCGGCGGUGCCACCUCCGACUAUUAUGUAAUCGUAUCCUUUCUCUCUCUCAUGGCCGUCCCGAUAGAACGAGCUUGCGCGCUUGAUGAACGGGGAUUUGUUGUAGUAGCUACAUUGUAAUUGAAGAUAUCAGAAAAACCAACCUUGACAAGAAGAGAGGAGGUGUAAGAGGCAGAGGAGAACAAGGAAGAGAAAGAGCUUGACUGUCCCAACCAACGCCAUUGAGUUGCAGACAAGGCAAAAGACAGUAGCAGUAGCAAAGGAUGCUGCUUCUUCCAAACUUUUGGGGUUUUGGAUGGCUGCUCGUGGAUCGUUGGAUGAUUUCUUCUGUGAUUUGAUUUUCAUGAAUACUUGAAGACAGCUCAUUCACCAAUCUCCCCUUUAAACUGUAUGGAUUCCCAAAAGAAUGAACCCUGAAUCCAUAGCUAAGAAGGGUUUGCGCUCUGAUGAAAUAUAUCAUAAGUUUGAAGUUUGCAGUCUUUUUGCGCAAGGAAGAGUAUGGAUGAAGAAGAUUACUCUUCUAGGAGCUUCCCCAUUCAAAAAAAUGUUCAAAGAGGAGUGUUGCCUAAUGUCCCGGUUAUACUUGUCUAGGACGUGUUGUCUAUGCCCGCAUGCCCAUUCCAAACCCCUUUUACAUGCUUUCAUUUUAGAUAGGUCUUUAUUAUUUCACGUUGUGUUAAUAUGGGGGUGUAUGACCGUUCACCAAAAUCAUGCCCUAAAAUAUACUAUAGGAGAUAUGACUAGUUGUUACUU